CAUGUUGAGUGAGGCAAAAAUGAAAACAAAUUGAAACGUUAUUUUUUCAACUUUCGAUUAAUUUGUUAGGAAAAUUUGGUGAGAGAGAGACAGGGAAAGAGGGAGUGGAAGAUGAUGAAUGAGAGAGAAAGUAAAAGUAAAAAGAUGAUAAUGAAAGUAAAAGGAUGAUGAGACUUGACCUUCUUAGAAAGACCAGGAAAAAACAACGAACUACAGAAAUCGGCUGAAUAAUGAGGCUCUCUUAAAAUAGCCCUUAUUUUUACUAUUGAACGGGCAAUCUAAUUUUACAAUAUUAAUUUGUUUGUUUACUUUAUUUGAACUUGAAAAAAAAUUAAAACAGUUAAUUUUGUCAACUGUAAUCUAAUUUUUAACCAUCAAAAUGCUUUUAUUCAUAAAAAAAUGAGUGAAUUUCUAGGAGCCAAGUAAAAAUUUAGCCUUUUAAAAUAUGGACUUUAAGCUUUUUCAAAGCUUAAGUAUAAUCUCUACCAGUUUCACUUUGAUCUUGAAUGUCUGCCUUAUCCUUAUUUUGGUGGAUCGUUUUUUGGUUAAUUUACUGUUCCAAAAUUUGUGUUUUAAAGGAUCAUCUAAGCAAUCUUAACUAAUCCAUGAGUAAACUGGAAAAUUGGGUUUGAAAAUAGACUUUGGCUGUGGACAACAUUACUCUUUCUGUCUUUGACCCUGUUGGCCCUACAUCAACUAGUCAGCUGAAUAAGAGUCAAAUUGAACAAAAAACCAAAUAACCAGAAACCGGGUUUUUUCUGUUUUUCAUUCAAUGGACACUGUGCAUAGUACAUCUGGUGAAUCUGGUAUUUCAACUAAAUCAGUUUUUUGGAUUUUUCCAUUCAGAGUCUAAUCGAGUUCUGGUUUGGUUUAUUUCCUAUAAAAUUAUCUACAUUUGCUUUUGAAUAUAUUUUCAUUCUAUCGACGAAUAGCCUAUUUCAAACUUCGAUCAUUUUGGAUUUUUGUCCAGUCCAGUUUGGCUUUGGUCAAAUGUAUAGUGAAUUUGGUUUUAUUGCUCUCAAAAUCAGUCUAACUGGCUAUCCUGGACGUAUGGUCGCCGGUUCAGUGCAAUUUCAAAGCCGGUUUAGUUUUCGCUUUUCAAAAAUAUUUUCUCAAUUAAGUCUACUUGGUGACAUCUUAUUUCAAGUGCAAACACUUUUGGUUGAAUUGGUUCUGGUUUAAUUGGUAUUUGCCUUUUAUUUUUACAAAUUAUAAUUUCCAACCAAAAUUGAUUCUUCAUUACAUCACAAUAAAAAUGUUUGAUGUUGAAAAGGUUGCUGUGUUUACCUCUCUACCUACAAAUAGCUGAAUAAUUGUUGUUUUUGUUGCUGUUGUUGUGGGUUCGGUGAUUACUGUUUGCUGGUUAAUCAAUGGAAAUUUAUUUAACCAAACAAAUUUCAUUUUUGUAGCUGUCAUUAUGCCUUUUAUUGUGGACAUUAUUAUUGUAUUAAUGUUGUUGUUUUGUUGACUAUUAACCAAAUUUCCUUUUUCAGUUGGACUGUGUCAAUAAUCUUGUUCAGCUGUGAAGGUUACGUUGGUUCAGUUUUUUGCUAUAAAUUUCUUGUUUUUUUUGUCGUUGGUCCUGUUCAAUACCUGUUCAACAAUUUGCAACUGGAAAGUGAAAGAAUUGUGGAGAAACCUUGAGAUUAAAUUAUCACAAUUGAAAAUAACUGAUCAACAAGAGGAAAAUUCCAAGGAUUUUGUAUCUUCUAUUGGUUAAUUUGUUAAUCAUAAAAAUUAUUUAAAUAGGAAACCUUGAGGAAUCUUGAAACUUUUCUUGAUGACAAGAUUGGUACAAAAGAGAACGAUUCAGCAAAGGAGAUUUUCUGUCCAUUUUUCUUCAAGUGAAAAUAUAUAUAACAAGUGA